ensembl:lncRNA
CGCUCUACCACUGAGCUAAAUCCCCAGCCCCGUCAUUUUUCUUUGAAUACAAAGUAGUAACAAGAGAGCCACGGUAGAUCCUCUCAAAUACGAUCCGAGCUCUGCAAACACCUGUGGUCUGGUUUAUUCUGUAUCCAUCUAAUCUGCAAUUGAUGCUCUCAAGAUGUGUCAUCAUUUCAUACGCCUGCCUUUGAGUAAGAGAAAAACACCUCAGAUUAAUGUUUUAACAAAUCGUCGAUAUAAGACAGAUGGGUUUCUGAGCUGUCAAAAGGCAGAACCCCGUGUUUCAGUUCAGACCACAGAAAGUGCUGGAAUAAAAUGAUACGGCGCUGAGAGCGGUUCUCGCUAGCCGACGGGGCCCUGAGCUGCUUUUGUCGUCUCUAUACUCUGUCGUCUCUGUACUUUCACAUGUUUUAUUUCCUCGAGGUCAUGAAUUGCUUUCCUAAUUAAAAUGAAAACAUGAUUCCGAUGGUUUGUGUGGAAAUUCACCAGGAACCAUAGUCUGUGGUUCUGAGAACAGCUUCUUUUGUUGGCCAGAAUCCUGUGACUGCCUUGGCUCCCAGAAAACUGAAGCCCAGCAAGAAAGUCUUUGAAGUCACUACAGGCUGUGUUCUUCAGGUUUCUGAGGAUCCAUCAUUGAAGCUACAGACUGUGUCCAUCAAGUGACCUGGUCCAGAGGAUAUUCCACAGGGUGCAUUCCUGGCCAGUGCCCCUGGUCUAGUAAGUGGAAGCCCGAGAACAGCAAGACUUCAUCUUCUACAGAAUCCAGGGUGUCCAUAUUUGCAUGCAUCCUCUAGCCUUUGGAAGUUCUGAGCCUUCAUCUGGUGAACCCUGAAGAGUCCUUGUGACUUCACAAUGGGGUUCUCUUUCCGAGCAUCACCUAGGACUGUGCAGGAACACUGAAAGGCUUGAUAACUGGUUCUGGUUAUACAUUAGUUUUCCUCAGAUGAUAACAGAAGCUUGGAAAUAGAUACAAACAGCAUCCUCUGUAAACUCUCCUGUGGAUAUGACCGACGUAUGUGCGUAUGUGGAUAUUACUCCUCACUGACAUGUUCCAGAGAUAUGCCUCCUUCUCUCAGAAAAGAUUCCUUUGCCUGAAACCAGUACCAGACAUGGACCCAACAGUAAUGACAAAAAUAUAGAACAGUGUCCCUGAUGAGCACAGGUGGGAAAGAAAUCCUUCAUAGAAUACUUGCAGAUCUGAGAACAUAUCCAGUCAUCCUUCAAGGUGAAGUGCACCUGUACUGUUUGGAAGUUGUGGCCACGUCAUCUUUCAUGAUUGGGCAAGCCUGCUUUUGUACACAAAAGAAACGCACACCUAAUAAAGUUAAGUUCAUUUUCUGGGCAAAGGCACUCACUAAAUCCUCAGAAACCUGAAGAACACAGCCUGUAGUGACUUCAAAGACUUUCUUGCUGGGCUUCAGUUUUCUCGGAGCCAAGGCAGUCACAGGAUUCUGGCCAACAAAAGAAGCUGUUCUCAGAACCACAGACUAUGGUUCCUGGUGAAUUUCCACACAAGGCAUUGGAACCAUGUUGUUGUGGAAGAAAGGAGUCAUUGAUGAAGUUCACCAAGGUCUUAUGGUAAAAGCCUCUUAAAUGAAUAAUAAUAAUAAGAAGAAGAAGAAGAAGAAGAAGAAGAAGAAGAAGACGAGGAGGAGGAGGAGGAAGAAGAGGAAGAGAAGGAGGAAGAAGAGAGGAG